UACGUAGGGUGCAAGCGUUUGUCCGGAAUUAUUGGGCGUAAAGAGCUCGUAGGCGGUCUGUCGCGUCGGCUGUGAAAACCCGGAGCUCAACUCCGGGCCUGCAGUCGAUACGGGCAGACUGGAGUUCGGCAGGGGAGACUGGAAUUCCUGGUGUAGCGGUGAAAUGCGCAGAUAUCAGGAGGAACACCGGUGGCGAAGGCGGGUCUCUGGGCAUUAACUGACGCUGAGGAGCGAAAGCAUGGGGAGCGAACAGG
rnacentral:rRNA from 1 species